rnacentral:rRNA from 1 species
GACGUAGGGCGCGAGCGUUGUCCGGAAUUAUUGGGCGUAAAGAGCUCGUAGGCGGCUUGUCGCGUCGACUGUGAAAGCCCACGGCUUAACCGUGUGGUCUGCAGUCGAUACGGGCAGGCUCGAGUUCGGUAGGGGAGACUGGAAUUCCUGGUGUAGCGGUGAAAUGCGUAGAUAUCGUAAGGAAGACCAGUGGCGAAGGCGGGUCUCUGGACAGUUCCUGACGCUGAGGCACGAAGGUCAGGGGAGCAAACGGG